rnacentral:lncRNA from 10 species
GUAUUCGGGUGGAAGUUCCUGCAGUAAAAGGCGUAGCUGCAGCUUCUCCCGGCCCAGGCACUCGCCUGCUCUGCUACCCUCGCUUCUUUAUUGCCUCUUUUACUACCAGCUAAAAGCGGCAAAACCCAGCUUCCUUUGCAGCUUCUGGCUAAAAAGUUCUCUCUUGCGGCUUUGUUUAAACAAGAAGGGUUUAGAGGUUUCGCUACACCGAGAAAACGACGCCGGCCCCGGGAAGCAGCCUCCCCGCCUUGGAGUCCGGUUGGGGCGUGAGGGCCGCGCGGGUCCCACGCCCCAAGGCUAAGCAGCCGAAAGCACAGCGCGCUCGGGGCCAAACCGGGCUGUAUCGCAGGCGCAGAUGGCGCGUCGGGCGGAAGCUGGAGGCCGCCGGCUCAACACGCUCCGUACCCGGGACUGGGGCCCGGCCUGCAGCCUCAGCGAGCAGGCGACAAGGGCGGCGCCACAGAGGCCGACGCGUCCCCCGCCCGCCUGAGCGCGCCGCAACAGCCACCUCGUCCCACCCGCCCC